rnacentral:rRNA from 1 species
GCAGUAGCCGCGGGAAUACGAAGGGGGCUAGCGUUGUUCGGAUUUACUGGGCGUAAAGCGCACGUAGGCGGAUCGAUCAGUCAGGGGUGAAAUCCUGGAGCUCAACUCCAGAACUGCCUUUGAUACUGUCGAUCUCGAGUCCGGAAGAGGUGAGUGGAACUCCUAGUGUAGAGGUGGAAUUCGUAGAUAUUAGGAAGAACACCAGUGGCGAAGGCGACUCUCUGGUCUGUAACUGACGCUGAGGAGCGAAAGCGUGGGGAGCGAACAGGAUUAGAUACCCGGGUAGUCCCUGUCUCUUAUAC